AACGAGCGCUGGCGGCAGGCCUAACACAUGCAAGUCGAGGGAUCCGCAAGGAUACCGGCGCACGGGUGCGUAACACGUGGGAAUAUGCCCUUCACUACGGAAUAACAUCGGGAAACUGAUGCUAAUACCGUAUAAUGACUCCGGUCCAAAGAUUUAUCGGUGAAGGAUUAGCCCGCGUCUGAUUAGCUAGUUGGUGAGGUAACGGCUCACCAAGGCGACGAUCAGUAGCUGGUCUGAGAGGAUGAUCAGCCACACUGGGACUGAGACACGGCCCAGACUCCUACGGGAGGCAGCAGCGAGGAAUAUUGGACAAUGGGGGCAACCCUGAUCCAGCCAUGCCGCGUGAGUGACGAAGGCCUUCGGGUCGUAAAGCUCUUUCAAUUGUGAAGAUAAUGACGGUAGCAAUAGAAGAAGCUCCGGCUAAACUCGUGCCAGCCGCCGCCGUAAAAC
rnacentral:rRNA from 1 species